rnacentral:rRNA from 1 species
UACGUAGGGCGCGAGCGUUGUCCGGAAUUAUUGGGCGUAAAGAGCUCGUAGGCGGCCUGUUGCGUCCGCUGUGAAAUCCCGGGGCUCAACCCUGGGCGUGCAGUGGAUACGGGCAGGCUGGAGGCAGGCAGGGGAGAACGGAAUUCCCGGUGUAGCGGUGAAAUGCGCAGAUAUCGGGAGGAACACCAGUGGCGAAGGCGGCGAUCUGGGAAGAUACUGACGCUGAGGUGCGAAAGCGUGGGGAGCAAACAGG